GCUGAUAUAGCUUAUUAGGUAGAGCACAUUCUUGGUAAGAAUGAAGGUCUCAGUUCAAUUCUGGGUAUCAGCA
rnacentral:tRNA from 1 species